AAAAUAAGUAAUAAAAUGAUGAAAAAUCAGAAUAUUCUAGAAUAGUUUCCACCACUAUUUUGUGUGUAUAAAUAGGGGCUACCACUUUCAAAAAGUUGUAACAAAAAAUUCGAAAAAGCAUCCAACCUCUUGCAUUGUAAAUCAAAAGCCACUUUGUAAAAUUUUAAUAAAAUUAUUUUCUUCCUCCUUCAACUAUCUUGUUCAAUUAAAUUACUCAUAUUAUUUUUAUCCCAUAUAAAAUCUACUUAAUCACUUCUAUCUAAACUCAUUUAUUUCUUCUAUUCAAAAGAACAACCAUUAGUGGUAUCAGAGCUACGUUGGAUUGAUGUUGGGUGUAAGCACAUACUCUGGUAGAUGCUUUUCGUUCUUCCAUUCAUAUUUCAACAUUUAAUGGAGACAACUAUGAUUUUUGGUCCAUCAAAAUGAAGACCUGCUUUUGUGCGCAAAACUUAUGGAAUGUCUUCAAUAAUGGGUAUGCUAACUCAAAUGAUAUUUCCACUCUAUCUACUGCACAAAAGAAGGAACUUAAAGAGAAUUAAAAAAAAAAAUUCUCUAGCACUACUUGCUCUAUAAAUGAGCUUGACGGAUACUUAUUUUUCAAGAAUUAUGGGAGCUAAAACGUUAAAAGAAGCUUGGGAUAAAUUGAAUGAGAAGUGUCACGACAGUGACAAGGUACGUACUUAUCAUCUUCAAACUUUAAAAAGGAAUUUUGAAAAUUUAAAAAUGAAAAAUUAUGAAACUACGAAAGAUUAUUAUUCAAUAAUAGAUGAAAUAGUAAAUCAAUUAAUAUCUUAUGGAGAUAAUGUUUCUCAAAAGGAAGUCGUUAGAAAAAUUUUAAAUACCUGCAUAGAAAAAUAUGAUUCAAUUAUUGCAGCUAUUGAGGAUUCAAAAGAUAUAAAUAAAUUGGUAGCUACAGAAUUAAUGGGUUCACUAAAAGUAAAUGAAAAACUAUUAGAAAGGCGUUAUGAAAUUAACAUGAAAAACACUUUUCAAUCUAAAAUUAAUAUGCGGUUUCAGAAAUCUAAAGAAUGUGGGAGAAAAUUUAAAGAAAAUUAUAAAAGUAAAGAAAUUCAAGGAAAAGAAUUUGAUAAAAGUAGCAAGUAAUUUUCUUGUGGUAUAUGGAAAAGAAAAAGUCAUUUGAAGAAGAAUUGUUGGUUUAAAGGAAAACCACAGUGUCGUCACUGUAAGAAAAAUUUUGUCGUUUUAAGCAAAAUCAUCAAACUAAUUUCUCUUUAAAAAGGAUAUAGAAUGAGGUCUAUUUUAUGCCACUAGCCAGUAUGCAUUUGAUGACAAAUUGGAUACGCGGUAUCUAGACAAUAGUUGUAAUAAUCAUAUGAUAAAAGAUUAAAGUAUUUUCUGCAGUCUUGAUAAAAUUAAGGCAAAAAUCAAGAUUGACAAUGAAAAUUUUAUAGAGGCAACAGGCAAAGGCACUAUUGCCGUUGACACAAAAAUGGGCAAGAGAUAUAUUAAUAAAGUUCUCUUAGCCCCUACAAUAGAUCAAAAUAUAUUAGGUGUAGGUCAGAUGAUGGAGAAAUGAUAUACUUUACAUUUUGAAGGAGAUUCUUGCAUGAUCUAUGAUAAGAAAGAUAAAUAUCUUGUAAUUGCAAAAGUCAAAAAGCGCGAGAAAUAGAUGCUUUCCAAUUCAAUAGAGAUAUACAAACAAUGCGACAAUGAUGGCACAAGUGGACGAGUCAUGGCUGUAGUACAAAAGAUUUGGACAUUUCCACUUCCACGAGUUGAAGAUCUUUCAGCAAAAGAGAAUGAUGAAAGAUUUACCAAUCAUAAAAGAGAUUGAUGCAAUAUGCGAAGGAUGUUUGCUCGGGAAACAAAACCGCCAACUAUUUUCGACUGAAAAAUCUUGAAGAGCUCAAAUGUCAUUAGAGCUUAACAUACAGAUGUAUGCAGUGCAAUGCGUACUCCAUCACAUGAGCAAAACAGGUAUUUCAUUCUCUUUAUUGAUGACUACACUAGAAUGAUAUGGGUAUAUUUCUUACGUGAAAAUUUCCAAGUAUUUGGGAUUUUUAAAAGAUUCAAAUACUAUGUUGAAAAGGAAAGUGGAUGCAAUAUCAAAACUAUCAGAAAUGACAGAGACAAAGAAUAUACAUCAAAUAAAUUCAACAAAUUUGUGAAAAUAAAGGAAUGGAGCAUCAACUCACAGUUGGAUACGCGCCUAAACAAAAUGUCGUGUCAGAAAAAAAGAAUAGAACAGUAAUGGAGAAAACUGGAGCUAUGCUAAUGGAGAAAAGUUUUCCAAAAACUUUCUGGGCAGAAUCAGUAAGCAUUGCAGUCUAUCUACUAAAUUGAUGUCCGAAUAAAGUUGUGUAAGACAAAAUGCCAGCGGAGGCAUGGAGCGGACGAAAACCAUCAGCAAAGCAUCUCAGAGUUUUUGGCUGUAUCUGCUAUACACAUAUUCUACAGGAGAAAAAGAGGUCAGCUAGAUGGAAAAAUAGAAAAAAGGAAACUUCUUAGGUUAUAAUACUCAAUCAAAAGGCUAUCGAGUAUAUAAUUUAAGAACAAAGAAACUAAUUAUAAGUCAAGACGUUAAGUUUGAUGAAAAUGCCACCUAUAACUGGGAGACUGGCCAAGUCAAAAGAAAAGCUAUCAGCAUCCUAAUACAACCACAAAAAUAGAAAGGUGAUGUUGAAGAGAACAAUCAACCAAAGUCCCCACAACAAACAACUAUAGAAGAACCAGUCGACUUACCAAAAUAGUCACCAAGGAAAACACGAAUAUUCUCGAAAAUAUAUCAAAGCUGCAACUUGAUGAUCGUUGAACUAAGCAGCUUCAAAACAACCAAAAUGGAGAAAAGCUAUGGACGAAGAAAUAAAAUAAUUGAGAAAAACAACACUUGAGAGCUUUUAGAUCUUCCCAAGAUAAAGAAGUCAUAAGAGUAAAGUGAAUUUACUAGAUAAAGCUUAAUGUUGAUAGCUCAAUCCAAAAACAUAAAGUAAGGCUAGUCGCCAAAGAAUAUUCACAACAGUUUGGCAUCGACGACAAUGAGACAUUUGCUCCAGUUGUACGUCUUGACAUUAUAAGGAGGUUGAUUGCACUAGCUGUACAGAAAAAGUGGGAGAUUUACCAGUCAGAUGUCAAAUCAGCAUUUUUUAAUGGCUAUCUUGAAGAAGAAACUUAUGUAGAGUAACCUCAAGGGUACGUGGUACAAGGUAAAGAAGAUAAAGUUCUCAAACUAAGGAAGGCACUAUAUAGAUUAAAGUAAGCUCCGCAAGCCUGGUACAGCAGAAUAGACAACUACUUCACUGAGCAAUGAUUCAAGAUGAGCCAAAGUGAACCAACUCUAUGCAUCAAAAAUCAAGGUACAAGCAGCACACUUAUAAUCUUUUUAUAUGUUGAUGAUCUUAUCUAUACAGGGAACGAUGAGAAGAGGAUCGAAAAAUUCAAGUCUGAUCUGAGAUUAAUGCCCUAUAGCUCAAUGUGAAGAUGUGAUCUUCAUUGUUCAGAAGAAAUAUAUCACUAGUCUAUUAAAGAAGUUCAAGAUAGAAGGUUGCAAAACAGUCAUAACACCCUUGGAUGGCAACAAAUCUCUCAGAAAAGAAGACAGUACUCCAAAAUCAGAUAACUCACAAUUUUGAAACUUAAUUAGAAGUUUACUCUAUCUUACAACUACAAGGCUAGACAUAAUGUAUGCAACCAGCCUACUUUUAAAAUUCAUGCAAAAUCCAAGUCAAAUUCACUAUGGAGCUGCAAAGAGGAUACUAAGAUACCUCGAAACAAAAGACGAUGGAAUAAGGUAUCAGUCUAUGCCUGACUCAAAACUACUUGGGUAUACUGAUAGCGAUUGGGCAGGAUCAGUAGGUGAUAUGAAAAGCACAUCAAACUACGCAUUCACACUAGGCUUUGGAAUAUUCUCUUGGGCAUCAAAGACAUAGGCAACGGUUGCACAUUUAUCGGCUAAAGUAGAGUAUAUUGCAACAGCAAUGACAACGAGUCAAGCUAUAGGGCUAAAACGUAUACUUGAAGACAUAGUAGAACCACUAGAUGAAGCUAUAGGGAUUUACUGUGACAGUAAGUCUGCAAUAGCAAUGGACAAGAAUCUCAUAUUCCAUAACAGAACCUAACACAUUGGCAUCAAGUACCAUUUUAUCAGAGAAGCUAAAGCAAAUAAAGAGAUAGAACUCAAACAUUGCAAGACUGAAGAACAAUUAGCAGAUAUAUUUACGAAAGCACUACCACAAGCAAAGUUCAAGUUACUACGAGAAAUGAUCGGAGUAAUCAAAAUAUGCACCAAGGAGGAGCAUUAUUGGUUGCUGUAUAUUUUAAGAUUACUCUAGAAUUCACUAAAAUUGCCUUGGAGAGCAAGAAAAUAUAGGUCCCAAGAAUUUCUUGAUGAGCAAGCAAAAAUAGUAAUUUAAAAUUAAAAAAAAAAAUUAGAAUGUUCUAGAGUGUCUUGAGAAACAAGUAAUAAAAUGAUGAAAAAAUCAGAAUGUUCUAGAAUAGUUUCCACCACCAUUGUGUGUUUAUAAAUAGGAGCUACCACCUUCAAAAUGUUGUAACAAAAAAUUCAAAUGAGCUUCCAACCUCUUGCAUUGUAAAUCAAAAGCCACUUUGUAAAACUUUAAAAAAAUUAUUUUCAUCUUCCUUCAACUAUCUUGUUCAAUUAAAUUAC
rnacentral:lncRNA from 1 species